CCCUUAGAUGUCCGGGGCCGCACGCGCGCUACACUGAAGGAAUCAGCGUGGCUUUCUCCCUGACCCGAAAGGGUUGGGAAACCCGUUGAAUCUCCUUCGUGAUAGGGAUUGGGGCUUGAAAUUGUUCCCCUUGAACGAGGAAUUCCCAGUAAGCGCGAGUCAUAAGCUCGCGUUGAUUACGUCCCUGCCCUUUGUACACACCGCCCGUCGCUACUACCGAUUGAACGGUUUAGUGAGGGCCUCGGAUUGGUCUCGGCCCGCUCUUUACCGGGCGGCGCCGUUGGUCGAGAAGACGCUCGAACUUGAUCGUUUAGAGGAAGUAAAAGUCGUAACA
rnacentral:rRNA from 1 species